CCUACGGGAGGCAGCAGUGGGGGAUAUUGGACAAUGGGGGGAACCCUGAUCCAGCGACGCCGCGUGAGUGAAGAAGUAUCUCGGUAUGUAAAGCUCUAUCAGCAGGGAAGAAGAAAUGACGGUACCUGAGUAAGAAGCCCCGGCUAACUACGUGCCAGCAGCCGCGGUAAUACGUAGGGGGCAAGCGUUAUCCGGAAUUACUGGGUGUAAAGGGAGCGUAGACGGUGAUGUAAGUCUGGAGUGAAAGGCGGGGGCCCAACCCCCGGACUGCUCUGGAAACUAUGUGACUGGAGUGCAGGAGAGGUGAGCGGAAUUCCUAGUGUAGCGGUGAAAUGCGUAGAUAGUAGGAGGAACACCAGUGGCGAAGGCAGCCUGCCGCAGCGUUACUGACGCUGAAGCUCGAAAGCGCGGGUAUCGAACAGGAUUAGAUACCCCAGUAGUC
rnacentral:rRNA from 1 species